rnacentral:rRNA from 1 species
CGAAAGCCUGACCCAGCGACGCCGCGUGAGGGAUGAAGGCCUUCGGGUCGUAAACCUCUGUCGGGAGGGAAGAACGUCGGCGAGGUAACAAUCUCGUCGGUUGACGGUACCUCCAAAGGAAGCGCCGGCUAACUCCGUGCCAGCAGCCGCGGUAAUACGGAGGGCGCAAGCGUUGUUCGGAAUCACUGGGCGUAAAGCGCGUGUAGGCGGCCGGGCAAGUCGGAUGUGAAAUCCCGAGGCUCAACCUCGGAACUGCAUUCGAAACUGCUCGGCUCGAGUCCCGGAGAGGAUGGCGGAAUUCCCGGUGUAGGGGUGAAAUCCGUAGAUAUCGGGAGGAACACCAGUGGCGAAGGCGGCCAUCUGGACGGUGACUGACGCUGAGACGCGAAAGCGUGGGGAGCAAACAGGAUUAGAUACCCUGGUAGUCCACGCCGUAAACGGUGAGUGCUAGACGUCGCGGGUAUUGACCCCCGCGGUGUCGAAGCUAACGCGUUAAGCACUCCGCCUGGGGAGUACGGCCGCAAGGCUA